GCAUCUUGGGGGUCGUUCUGGUUGGUAUGUUUCCGGUGGAUGGCUCUCUGCUCGCGCAACAACUUCCACCUGGCAUACCUCUUCAGUUAUGCGUCAAGGUUGUCUUACCUUGUGCGCAUUGUGGGUUUCCUGUGUUGCAUACCUAUGUGAUGGUACCGUUUGGAUCCAUCAAAGUCGCUUUUCGUCUUGCGUCAAUAUUGGCGUUGGAUGAACAUAGAAGCAAUCUCUAUGAUCCACUUUCUUGAUGCAUUUGCAUCGAUGUUGUGGCUUAUUGAGUGUUGCUUGGUCUUGUGAAUAUGGAACCUGAUGUGGGCACCGGGGUCUCACAUGAUCCUUGUUUUGCCUAAGUUGAGCGUUCUUGUUUCUCUGAGACGACUUCCUAGCCCGAAUUGGCUCGUACCACCGGGUGGGAUAUGUUGUUGAAGAGAGAUGCGAGCGUUCUUGCUUUUCUAGAACGACCGCCUAUCUCGCAUUGGCUCGUACCAGCGAGUGGGUUACGUCGAACAUGAAUGCUACCUGGUUGAUCCUGCCAGUAGUCAUAUGCUUGUCUCAA
rnacentral:misc_RNA from 1 species